rnacentral:rRNA from 1 species
AUUGAACGCUGGCGGCAUGCCUUACACAUGCAAGUCGAACGGCAGCACGGGUGCUUGCACCUGGUGGCGAGUGGCGAACGGGUGAGUAAUACAUCGGAACAUGUCCUGUAGUGGGGGAUAGCCCGGCGAAAGCCGGAUUAAUACCGCAUACGAUCUACGGAUGAAAGCGGGGGACCUUCGGGCCUCGCGCUAUAGGGUUGGCCGAUGGCUGAUUAGCUAGUUGGUGGGGUAAAGGCCUACCAAGGCGACGAUCAGUAGCUGGUCUGAGAGGACGACCAGCCACACUGGGACUGAGACACGGCCCAGACUCCUACGGGAGGCAGCAGUGGGGAAUUUUGGACAAUGGGCGAAAGCCUGAUCCAGCAAUGCCGCGUGUGUGAAGAAGGCCUUCGGGUUGUAAAGCACUUUUGUCUGGAAAGAAAUCCUUGGCCCUAAUACGGUCGGGGGAUGACGGUACCGGAAGAAUAAGCACCGGCUAACUACGUG